AGCUGUUAGAAACUGUUACAAUACUCAAUUAUAUCAUUUAAAUUGGUAUUGGGACGUUGGGAAAUGAUUUAACUCGGAGAGGAGUUACAUUUUGAGUUCUCAGGAAACAGUUGUUUAAUAGUUGUUUGUAUGUUGUUUUAUGGUUGUUUUCGAACAUCUGGAACCAGAUUUUUGAAAACGUUCAUAAACAUACAUAAAUUAAUUGAGCAUGUUUCUAACUCUCUUGACCAACGUUUUUAUCCCAUUAAACACAAAUUAAUGUGUUGGUAACAGCCAUGUGAUGAAAGGGUUUGAUUUUCAAAUGUGAUUCUCAAAACACUAUAAAUAGAGGUCUUGAGUUUACUUUGAAAAGAACAAGUUUCUAUCAAGAGAGCACAUUGCUAGAAACACUAAAGGCUUGAUAAAUCCAGAAAGCUAUUUCCAUUCUUUUCUUUUCCCUAAGUGCUUGUGGUAGGGGGAAAUAAGCUUUUGGACAAAGGUGUAAAACCUUGUUCAAGUUUUGUGAUUCCCCUAUUAUACACGGGAAAUUUGAAUUUCCAUACUUACAAUAUUUUAAAAUUUUAUCUCUAAAUGCAUAGUUAUUAAAAUUGGUCAUAUAUGACCACAUUACUAAUUUCUCAAAAAUACCCCUCACAUUUAAAAUUCCUAAUCUCAUCAGCCUCUCUCUUCCUCUCUCUCAACUCACUCAAUUCUCCUCGUUUGAUAUCGGGCUUCAAAUAAUUCAACCACCUCAGUCUACAACUUUUCCUACAUCUAUUCAAUCCUGCACAAUAAUUUCAAAAAAAUCAUACUCAAUAUAUAUAUAUAUAUGCACAUAUAUAGGUAUACCAGUAGUAAUAAUAAUAAGUAUAUAUACCAGUUCUCUCUCUCCAAAAUUACUCACUUACUGUCAUUCAUUAACAUUAAUCUAGUAUUUUGAGUUAACAACUUGGAAUUGUUCAUUCAAGUUUUUAUUUUUUUUAUUAAUAUGUUAACUAUUCAAUUCCUAAAUGCUAAACCAACCCUCUUCUUCUCUUUGUUUUCUUCAUUUCUUUUGCUUUAAAAUAGAUAAUCUAAACAGCCUCUCUCUUCCUCUCUCUCAACUCACUCUCGCUCAACCCACCCGAUCCCAACCCCAACCGCAGCUGACGGUGACGGCGGACCCAAUCGACCCACGGUGACCGACCCAAUCGACCGCGCGGAGCUUUUCGACCCUAUCGGUCCAAUCGGACCUCCACGAAUCGGACCAUCGGACCCAUGCAACUUGACCAUCGGACCCAACCCGUCGGACCCAUCGGGCCUAUCGGACCCAUGCAUUGGGACCAUCAGACUCAACACCGUCGGACCAUCGGACCCCAUGCAACGUGACCGUCGGACCCAUUGGAUCCAUGUAUCGGGACCAUCGGACCCCACCCGUCGGACCCCAUCGGACCCUCUUCUUCCCCAAUGGUUUCUCAGAUCUGAUCUUCUUCAUCAUCAUAUUUGAUCUGCAAAAGAUUGAAUAGAUGUAGGAAAAGUUGUAGACUGAGGUGGUUGAAUUAUUUGAAGCCCGAUAUCAAACGUGAGUUGAGAGAGAGGAAGAGAGAGGCUGAUGAGAUUAGGAAUUUUAAAUGUGAGGGGUAUUUUUGAGAAAUUAAUAAUGUGGUCAUAUAUGACCAAUUUUAAUAACUAUGCAUUUAGGGAUAAAAUUUUAUGGUA